UAAAAACGACUCUCGGCAACGGAUAUCUCGGCUCUCGCAUCGAUGAAGAACGUAGCGAAAUGCGAUACUUGGUGUGAAUUGUAGAAUCCCGCGAACCAUCGAGUCUUUGAACGCAAGUUGCGCCCGAAGCCAUUAGGUCGAGGGCACGUCUGCCUGGGCGU
rnacentral:rRNA from 1 species